CUUGCCUCUGGAGUUGGAGGCAGCCAAAUGGCAAUCGACGCUCGCCUCCACUCCGUUGGUUCGUCCAGGCGUCGCCGGCUGAGUGGUAGUAACUGGCAGCCUGCAACACAAACAGGCUUACCAAUGCCAUGCUACACAAUUCUCAGAAAAAUGACAACAGAGCCAACUUGUCGCUGUCUUACUAAUGCCAUGGAAUAAGCAUCAAUGGUAGCCUGAUUCUUGUAUAGCCAGAACAUCUGUUGACUUCACAUCACAUGACAAUUCGUCCAAGUACAGUUCUACAUAACACAGGUCUAUAGCAAAGUAGCAAAUCUACCUUUAUUGCUGAAUUUAGAAAAUGUACUAACAGUUUACUUCUCUGAGUUAUGCUGAAACUAUCAAACA